rnacentral:lncRNA from 1 species
AUUUUUUCCCCCAACAAGGUGGCAGCCUCCUCAAAUGAAGAAUACACAUUAUCACGAGCAUCAGAUUUCUUCUUUCUCUUGUUUGAAGAUGAGGAACCCCCUUGGUCUUUAUCUCCUCGCGGAUCUGUACCAGAAACAUCCAUGUCGUCUAAAGAGACCUCAGCUUCGCAGUCAUAGAAUGUGUUUCUCUCUUCAUUCAUAUCUGUAGUACGUUC